rnacentral:rRNA from 1 species
GACGAACGCUGGCGGCGUGCUUAACACAUGCAAGUCGAAUGGAAAGGCCCUGCUUUUGUGGGGUGCUCGAGUGGCGAACGGGUGAGUAACACGUGAGUAGCCUGCCCUUGACUUUGGGAUAACUUCAGGAAACUGGGGCUAAUACCGGAUAGGAGCUCCUGCUGCAUGGUGGGGGUUGGAAAGUUUCGGCGGUUGGGGAUGGACUCGCGGCUUAUCAGCUUGUUGGUGGGGUAGUGGCUUACCAAGGCUUUGACGGGUAGCCGGCCUGAGAGGGUGACCGGCCACAUUGGGACUGAGAUACGGCCCAGACUCCUACGGGAGGCAGCAGUGGGGAAUAUUGCACAAUGGGCGGAAGCCUGAUGCAGCAACGCCGCGUGCGGGAUGACGGCCUUCGGGUUGUAAACCGCUUUCGCCUGUGACGAAGCGUGAGUGACGGUAAUGGGUAAAGAAGCACCGGCUAACUACGUG